GUGAGGAAUAUUGCGCAAUGGAGGCAACUCUGACGCAGCCAUGCCGCGUGCAGGAAGAAGGCGCUACGCGUUGUAAACUGCUUUUAACCGGGAAGAAACCCCAGGACGUGUCCUGGGUUGACGGUACCGGAGGAAUAAGCACCGGCUAACUUCGAGCCAGCAGCCGCGGUAAUACGAAGGGUGCAAGCGUUAUCCGGAUUCAUUGGGUUUAAAGGGUGCGUAGGCGGAGCGUUAAGUCAGUGGUGAAAUCCUGCAGCUUAACUGUAGACUUGCCAUUGAUACUGGCGCUCUUGAGUGCGCUUGAAGUGGGCGGAAUGUGCCGUGUAGCGGUGAAAUGCUUAGAUAUGGCACAGAACACCAAUUGCGAAGGCAGCUCACUAAGGCGAUACUGACGCUGAGGCACGAAAGCGUGGGGAUCGAACAGGAUUAGAAACCCUGGUAGUCC
rnacentral:rRNA from 1 species